rnacentral:rRNA from 1 species
GAUGAACGCUAGCGGCAGGCUUAAUACAUGCAAGUCGAGGGGCAGCAGGACUGUAGCAAUACAGUUGCUGGCGACCGGCAAACGGGUGCGGAACACGUACGCAACCUACCCAUAACUGAGGAAUAGCCCGGGGAAACCCGGAUUAAUACCUCGUAACAUAAUGAGAUGGCAUCAUCUUAUUAUUAUAGCUCCGGUGGUUAUGGAUGAGCGUGCACCUGUAUAGGUAGUUGGCGGAGUAAUAGCCCACCAAGCCUACGAUCAGUAACUGGUGUGAGAGCACGACCAGUCACACGGGCACUGAGAC